GUUAAAAUUUCUAUAAUGAAAAAUACAUAUAGUCGAAUAGAGAACCUUUCCCUUUUUUUGGAAGUCGGUUAAAAGUAAAUAG